AACAACCAAUCAGAACGUGAUAACAGAGCGGAUGAAAGUCACAAUAACUGCUUUAAUCGUCCAAAAGGAUCCAUUAAAUUGCCGUGGCUAACAUAGAAAGAAGUCUAAUUUGAUUUGACGUAAAAACAUCUCGCUUUAGUCAUAUAUCAAAAUAUUAAAAAAAAAAAAGACUUAUGUGAUGUGAACAUCACGCCUUUUGUGGUAUUUGUAAAUAGUUAGGAUGGCAAUUUGGUGUGUUCAAAUCUUGUUUUAGAUGUUAUCAUAUAAUAAUCAAAAUAUGGAAUAUUUCAUGGACUUCUUUAAGAGGCUGUCCAAGUAAAUAUCAGGCAAAUCCUAUGAUAUUGGUGGCACAAUAAAUUUUUUUCCCACUGAAUUUUUGGUUCCAAUACAAUGUUUAUAUCAUACAAAGGAUAUAUUUGUCAAAGAUUUUUUUUGAAUAAACAGUGGAUGGCUCAGAAAAUGAUUUUAACGUUCACUAACAAUGCAACAAAAUUUUGUACAUAAUGAAGAGUUAUCUCCACUUUUCAAUGAACUUUCAGUGCUUUCUAUGUAUUUUUUUUUCUCUUUAUUUGUUACAGUUAAUAACAAAACAAAAUUUAACUUUGAGACAGAAUGAAUCUGUGAUAUGAAAUAGAUGAAAAAAUUUUGAAAACAAAAUAUGUCAUGUACCAUCCACUGCCUGGUUUUUCCAUGGACACCCCCUUAAUUGCAAUCAUGUUUAUUUGUAUCGUCUUGUCAUCGACGUUACAAGUCACUGCUAACAGGUCUUCGUGACAAUAUGAACAACAGUUGAAAUUCAACACAAUGUUUAUAGUUUGUUUGUCCUUUUUGAGAACAAAAACACUCAAGGUAAAAAAUAAUCUAUGUGAAAUAUGAAAAUUUAUAUAGGAUAAUUUAAAGGUUUCUUAACGUCCUUUUUUGUAGCGUAAUUUUGGUCUUUUUGUUAUCCAAAUUAUAGUUUAUGCACAGUUAUGACCAAUGCUGCCUCCUUUGCUAGAGGUCGAAAUAAAAAAAAAAACAUUUGUGUGCAAUCACUAUUUUUAUCCGAUCGAACUUCAAAGACAAUUAUGAUUUUGAAAUUGAAUCAGCAUUGUUCUCGUUUAUUAAGAUAAGUGUCGAAAU